rnacentral:rRNA from 1 species
UACGAAGGUCCCUAGCGUUGUUCGGAAUUAUUGGGCGUAAAGCGCAGGUAGGUGGCUUUGCAAGUCAGGUGUGAAAGCCUGGGGCUUAACCCCAGAAGUGCACUUGAAACUGCUUAGCUUGAGUACGGGAGAGGUGAGUGGAAUUCCUGGUGUAGUGGUGAAAUUCGUAGAUAUCUGGAGGAACAGCGGAAGCGAAGGCGGCUCACUGGCCCGGUACUGACGCUGAGUAACGAAAGCGUGGGGAGCAAGCAGG